GUUCGAAAUCGGCGGUGGCAACAUGGCCAUUGAAAGAGCAAAGACUAUAAAUCAAGACUUCUCUCCCCCGCCCCUGAAGUUGGUCUAGCAGCUCUCCAAAGAGUGGUCUUACAAAGGAGAUCUCAGCUGGAUGUGAUGGCGCACGCCUGUUACCCCAGCACUCUGGGAGGCUGAUCCCUGGGAUCACAAAUUCGAGCCCACCCUGGGCAAUUUAGUGACUUGGCGAGACCUGGUCUCAAAGUAAAAAUUUAAAAGAGGCUGAUAACGGGGAGGGGGGAACUGCUGCAGAGGAUGUAACUUCCUUGGGAAGUGAACCCCUGUUCGGAGCUCGGCGUUGCGGGGCGGUUUCUUACCAGAGCCCAGGGCAGCGGGACCCCAGCUAGGACUGGGCACGGGUUUCUCCUCCCAGCCGGGGCGGGGCCGCGGACGCCCGAGCCAGGUCUUGGAAGGUGAAUGACGCAUACGCGAGGACAGCAGCCCCUUCCCAGCCUCUCCAAGCUCCGGGGACCCCCCGAGACUCGAGAAUUGGGUGCUGUGUCUUUAAAGGGAGUGGGGGCUUCCGGUGGGGUCUACGCGCCCUCAGGGCGCCGGGAGAGGACUGGCUGAGGGGACCGAGGGGGAGACGGAGCGGAGAUCGUGGAGGACACAGGGGCGCAGGGCUCGGGUAGAGGGGUCCAAAGCCUGCCUACCGCGGCUCCACUCCCUACCCCAGCCUCUGAGGCCACGCCCCCCGCCGUCCCCGCCGGGUCCCGCCCUCCCCGCGGUGCUGAACAAAGGGACUCGGUCCUCGGGGCGCCCUGGGCGGUUCUCUGUGAACACUGACUGCCGGCCGAGGACCUGAAGCUUCGCCAAGCCAAGGGUUUUUAGCCCUAGGAAAGGAAGGAAGAAGGACUCGCCCCAGCUGAACUUGUGAUCAGCAGCUACUACAAGGACACCGUGUUUCAGAGCCGCUGCUGUAGAAAUAGCUUAGUGGUGAACUUCCUGCUACAGACCAUAUUAUAUUCCUCUUGGAAUUCUUGGGAGCAAGCAUGUCUGUGACCCUGACCAGGGGCACAGUGACCAUUUGAAUGAAAGAGUUGGAUAGAGUAAAUGGAUUCCUUCCCAGUUGUGUUUAACCAGAGAGCAUCUGGACCUUUAGCAUCUCCUUGUUGCUGAUUCAGAAGCUGGCAUCAGGCACAGGCACUGGAGAGGUCACUGAGACACUGCGAAAGCGAUGCCCAGUGAAGAGCCUGCACUGACCAUGGAAGAGAACAGCGGGCUGGACGAAGCUGCGGUGCAGGGCGGCCCAUGCCCGGGCCGCCUGGGGGCGCCCCCCACGCCGAGGCCUGGGGGUGCUUUCACCUGGCACCUGCGCGCCCCCGGGCACCGUCUGGCCGCUGGGCCACUUGCCGGCUGUGCGGGGGAGCAGGUGGGCCGCGGCCCGGGCUUCCAGGCGGGCACCUCGGCUCUGUGGCGACACCUGAAGGCGCGCACCGGCGGGAGCUGGGGAACAGCGGUGCGCCCGGCCCUGUGGCAGCCGCGGGCGCGAGUGGGCGCGGCUGCGGGAGCAGAUGGGCGCGCUGGCCGAGCAGGGCCGGCGGCGUGAGCGCGAGCUGGCGCGGAGGGAGGAGGCGGCCGUGGCCAGGGCGAGCGCGCCCUGGAGCGCGGGCGGAGCGCGCUGCGGGCCCUGGAGCGCCGGCUGCAGGCGGAACGCGAGGCCCUGCAGACGAGGCUGCGAGAGCUGGGCUGGCCCUCCGCGCCGCCCCCGGCCUCCGUACCGAAAAGAGGACCCCGAGGACCGGGUCGGGGACAGCUGCGUUGCCGCCAAGGUCCUGCUAUAGAGGUUGGCUGAUUCCACCCGUGGGCGCGAUAUGCCAAAUGCGGGGCCUCACGCAAAGUUCAUACCAGUGCGAAACCAAAACCACCGCGUCCUCGGGUGCCUUUGACUUCCUGUGCCUUGACGCAUGUGAAAAACAAAGUCGCACUGAAGGGGAACCAAAGAGCCCCAGCAUCCUUGGUGCCAUAUCACUUGAGGCUGGUGACUGAAAGGACAGAAGCUGCUUUACACGCCAAAGACUCUUCACUCUGUGUGCUUUAU
ensembl:lncRNA